GGCAGGGUCCGCGGGCCACAAGGGGGUGGUGUCCAUGUUGUGGUCCAGUUCGGGCCAUCGCGGUUCAGACAGCGGGCUCGGCAUCGCUGGGAAACAAAACAUUCGACAUUGUUCCUGGACGUAUGGCAUUUUCGUUUUGGGGAAAUAUGCACUUGGCUUUGUACCUUUUUUUCAGAUUUUCCUUAACUUAGCUGUGGACACAUAUACUUGCUGAAGAUAGAUAUCAGCUCGCACCUCUUCACCGAAAAUGAAACAAUUACAUGCGCAUACUCAGUCACGUCACCUCUCAAAGGCAACGUCCGUGAACAAACUCACGCCCAACGAGAAAUCCUUAUGAACAGUUUUGGUCCAAGUGCCUUUUUCCAGUCGAUGUCCGUCUGCUCCUCACGAUCUACAGCCAAAAACUUAUCAGUCGGUGCUACUCGCCGAGGGAAAGGAAGAGCCUGUGGAAUGAGGCUGACUUUUUCCGUGUCCUGAGGGAUGUACGCGGUUCUGAAACGUUUUGGAAAAUAUCUAAGUGAACUUCAGACUAGUGUACUUAUGACUAACUUAUUUUGGGACAGUUGCGUGAGGCCCAUUGCGAAAAAAAUAUGUCGACAAGAAUACGUACAAAACUAUUCUUCAAAAACUCAUAUAAACAUGAGAAGUGAGGAAAAAGAAAGAGAAAAAAAAACCUUCAUAGAGCAUUGCUAUCUUAAAGAAACCAAAACAAAUAAUCGCGGAGAACACCCAAAAGCCGCCCAAACCUCGCCCUACCACCACCACCAGCUUCAGAAUCGACGAUUUUCGAAUAGACUAAAACACACGAACCCAAAUGACAACAGCAAAAUAAUCAAAUAAAGAAAGUAAAUCACAAGAAACAAGUAACCCUACAGUACGCCGACGAAGAUCCAGCCGAUCUACCAAAGCUACAACUUCCUAGGUCGUCCCACCGUCCUACACCCAGGACUGUCUGUACCGAAAGGCAGGAAAACGAGCUAUAGCAGUCUCCCUCCCAACGUAGCCCACAGCCCGCCUCACUUGCUGGCUCGGUAUGUGGAAUCUGCCUCACGAUGGUUACGACACCGCAUCCUCGAACACAAAGGCAAAUCCUCCAGGACUGGCCUUCCGCUGAGCAAGCCAUCUUUCUCGGCAAUAAGAGAACACUCAACUUCACUCCUCUCGCCUAGACCUUAUCUUCUCGGAAUCCUUACAUGUACAGAACUAAACAACACAACCACCGCAACAACCUUGUUCAUCCAAUAGGCCUUCCCUCUCAACCAACAUCCACUUUGAUUAGUUUACCAUAUUGCUGGUUAUAGUUUUUUUGUUUUUUUGGGGGGGUUAUGUUAUUUUAUUUAAUUUACAUGUCUUAAUGUAUGAUUAUCUUAUGUUUUCAUUAUGUCCAUGUAUAUAUUGUUCUUGUUUACUUUUGCGUAUCUAUAAUUAAGGUUCAGAACCAAACAUUUGUAAUUAUUUUUGUCUAACUGACUUUUACAUUGGUUCUUUUUGACAGUACGUAUGAUG